rnacentral:piRNA from 1 species
UGACUAACCGAAGUGAAAGGUGAAUCC